CGUAAUGGUGGCUCAGGCGGGGCAGCCUUCGGGCUGGCCGGUACCCAUUGAGGCCGGUUUCUCACCCCCGUCUGGGCUACCACCCGA
rfam:Klebsiella pneumoniae IS43, WGS project CBWK01000000 data, contig: c161